UCGAUGGAGAGUUUGAUUCCUGGCUCAGGACGAACGCUGGCGGCGUGCUUAACACAUGCAAGUCGAACGGUUUAUAAGGGCUUGCCC
rnacentral:ncRNA from 1 species